rnacentral:rRNA from 1 species
AAAGGUGUUGUUUUUGCCUUAAAGUAAUAAUCAACUUAAGCUUUCAUACAAUAUAUAUAUAUAUAUAAGUAGAAAAUAAAUUUAUAUAAAUUUAUAGUUAUAGGUAAGUUGAAUUUUUUGGAAAAUUAAUGUGCCAGCAUCAGCGGUUAUACAUUGAAAAAAAUUACUUUGUCAGUGGAAAUUUAUAAAUUUUUUUAUAAAAAUAAGUUAAAGGGUUUAAUCCAAUUAAUUUAUUAGCCAGUUCUAUGUAUAAAUUAGAAAUUCAGAAUUUAAACCAGGAUUUGAUACCCUGCUAUUCUGAACGUUCAAGAAAUUUCAAAGGAGUAGGAAACGAAACUCAAAAAACAUGGCGGUGAAAAAUCAAAUUAGAGAAAUAUGCUUUUUAAUUCGAUAGUACCCGAGUACCUUACUUGAUCUUGCAAUCCAUUUUGUAUACCGCCGUCUGAAGAUAGAUUCAGGAUUAUCUAUCUGAAUUAAUCAAAAAUUAAAAAAGUCAGGUCAAGGUGCAAACUAUGAUUAAGGAUAAAGUGUAUUGCAUUAAUUUUAAUUGUGGAUUAAUUUUGAAAAAAAAAUUAGGAAUUUGAAUUUAAUAGUAAAUAAGUGAAGAAUAAUUUAUUGAAAAUGCUCUUUUUCACGUACAAA